GAUGAACGCUGGCGGCGUGCUUAACACAUGCAAGUCGAACGGUGAAGGCGGAGCUUGCUCUGCUGGAUCAGUGGCGAACGGGUGAGUAACACGUGAGCAAUCUGCCCCUGACUCUGGGAUAAGCGCUGGAAACAGCGUCUAAUACUGGAUACGAGCUGCGAAGGCAUCUUCAGCAGCUGGAAAGAAUUUCGGUCAGGGAUGAGCUCGCGGCCUAUCAGCUUGUUGGUGAGGUAAUGGCUCACCAAGGCGUCGACGGGUAGCCGGCCUGAGAGGGUGACCGGCCACACUGGGACUGAGACACGGCCCAGACUCCUACGGGAGGCAGCAGUGGGGAAUAUUGCACAAUGGGCGAAAGCCUGAUGCAGCAACGCCGCGUGAGGGACGACGGCCUUCGGGUUGUAAACCUCUUUUAGCAGGGAAGAAGCGAAAGUGACGGUACCUGCAGAAAAAGCGCCGGCUAACUACGUG
rnacentral:rRNA from 1 species